GACGAACGCUGGCGGCGUGCUUAACACAUGCAAGUCGAACGGAAAGGCCCUGCGUUUGUUGGUUUCUCGAUUGGCGAACGGGUGAGUAACACGUGAGUAACCUGCCCUUGUCUUUGGGGUAACUUCAGGAAACUGGGGCUAAUACCGGAUAGGAUCUCCUGCUGCAUGUUGGGGGUUGGAAAGUUUCGGCGGUUGUGGCUAGACUCGCUGCUUAUCAGCUUGUUUAUGGGGUAGUGGCUUACCAAGGCUUUGACGGGUAGGCGGCCUGGGAGGGUGAACGGCCACAUUGGGCCUGAGGUACGGAGCAGACUCGUAUGGGACGCAGCAGUGGGGAACCUUGCACAACGGGCGCAAGUGUGAUGCAGAAACGCUGGGUGCGGGAUGCCGGCCUAUGAGUUGUAAACAGAUUUCGAAUGAGAUGAAGAGAGAGUGACGGUAAUGAGUAAAGAAGCAACGGCUAACUACGUG
rnacentral:rRNA from 1 species